rnacentral:rRNA from 1 species
UACGAAGGGGGCUAGCGUUGUUCGGAUUUACUGGGCGUAAAGGGCGCGUAGGCGGAUUUUUAAGUCGGGGGUGAAAUCCCGGAGCUCAACUCCGGAACUGCCUUCGAUACUGAAAGUCUGGAGCACGGUAGAGGUGAGUGGAAUUCCGAGUGUAGAGGUGAAAUUCGUAGAUAUUCGGAGGAACACCAGUGGCGAAGGCGGCUCACUGGACCGUUGCUGACGCUGAGGCGCGAAAGCGUGGGGAGCAAACAGGAUUAGAAACCCCAGUAGUCC